UCUGGGCUCUGGCUGGGACACUCAUGGACAUUCACAGAGUUGUGCUGAAGCCACUCUUUGAUGUCUUGGCUGUGUGCUUUGGGUCAUUGUCCUGCUGAAAGAUGACCUGUCGCCCCAGUAAGAGGUCAAAAGUGCUCUGAGCAGGUUUUCUUCCAAGAUUGUUGCAAACACUCAAUCAUGAUGAA